GAUGAACGCUGGCGGCGUGCCUAAUACAUGCAAGUCGAGCGAACAGACGAGGAGCUUGCUCCCCUGACGUUAGCGGCGGACGGGUGAGUAACACGUGGAAAACCUACCUAUAAGACUGGGAUAACUUCGGGAAACCGGAGCUAAUACCGGAUAAUAUAUUGAACCGCAUGGUUCAAUAGUGAAAGACGGUUUUGCUGUCACUUAUAGAUGGAUCCGCGCCGCAUUAGCUAGUUGGUAAGGUAACGGCUUACCAAGGCGACGAUGCGUAGCCGACCUGAGAGGGUGAUCGGCCACACUGGAACUGAGACACGGUCCAGACUCCUACGGGAGGCAGCAGUAGGGAAUCUUCCGCAAUGGGCGAAAGCCUGACGGAGCAACGCCGCGUGAGUGAUGAAGGUCUUCGGAUCGUAAAACUCUGUUAUUAGGGAAGAACAAAUGUGUAAGUAACUAUGCACGUCUUGACGGUACCUAAUCAGAAAGCCACGGCUAACUACGUG
rnacentral:rRNA from 1 species